GCAGAAAAUUGUAAAAUAUGAGUGAAUAUGGACUGAUUUAUUUUUGAAAACAUUUCUAGCAGUAUAUAUCCCCUUUAUUUUCAUAAUAUCCAUUCAUUGCAGACAUGCAGUUCGUAGUUUGUUUGUUACAUUCAACUUUUCCUCAAGGAUCUGAACGCGUCUGAUCUUUUCCAUAAAUAUAUGCAGGCUGACGUGGGUCACGUGACGUGCCUUUCUCUUUUUUUCCUGUGGAAAAUCUCGUAAAAAGGUACGUUGCGAUUUAUUAAUUUCUUUUAUUUACAUUUCUAGGGACCCGUGUAUAGGUUUUCUCGUUCCGUGUUGCUGUUGCGGCGAUUAGGCUUUGAUUGACAUGUGACAACAAACCGGAAAAAUGUUGAGUUCAGGGACUGACCAAAGAGUUCUUUAAAUUGAUUUUUCUGCAUUUUAAUUUAUUUACACUACGAGUCUAAUGGUGUGUGAUAAAAAAACCUAUAAAUAUUAUGAUAAAUGAGAUGAAACAAUUAUUUUGAUGGAGUUUAUAAAAUAUUAGCAUCUAUUAUAUUCUUUUUUCUUUAACUGUCAAUUUUUUUGACGUAUCUCAUAUAUUAUAGUAUUACAAUGAAGUGCUCUAAUUUAUCUGUUAAAAAAGGUUUCAUCACUGUUUCCUGUAGUAAUUCUCAAUAAAGUUUUAAAUAGGAUAUAUUAAAUAGGAUAUAUUAUCUAAAGUAAUCAGGCUUUUAAGCCUUCAAUUUGCCCCAAUUGACAUGAAGUGCGCAUUUCGAAAAGCCAGUGAACGCAGCGUCAUACGGGCACCCCCACCCCACUCCCCCGAAAACCCCCGGAUGAACCCGCAGGAAGGCGCGCGGCUGAAGAACUUCUUGGACAGCUGGAAGGCCGCAGCAUCACGGUGAAGGCCUCUUCUGUAUAGAGGACGGGGGCGGAAACGUCACGUGGUCUCCGCAGAGACGGGUCAGUUAUUUGGAGACAACAUGCACAAAUAGUUCCUGGACUGAUUUUCUGCUAACUUUGAGAUGGAGAGGCUGUCAGGUUCAUCUGUUUCAGUGUCCUGCAUGCUCUCCCUCCAUGUUUGCCGUAGCAGUGGAUGGAACUUGCAAAAUGUACUGUUUUGAGAGCCAACUGGGGCUCAGUGGUUAUUUUGAAGAUGCGUUUCUGACCAAAAACACUGUGGAGACCUCCUUUGUGAACUGCAUUCAUGGGGCAAUAGAACAUAAUCCUGGAGAUGUGGAGCAGGAAAGUUUGUGGCAGCACCAGAGUCCUCCAAAAAGUCUUCUGGCAAAGUAAAUGAGGAAGGAUCGCAGUCUGCCAUCGUGGAGUUUUGCUGAAAGGACUGAACACGUUCCAUCCAUGCAUCCAUCUUCUUCCAUUCAUCCAGAACCAGGUUGUGAGGGCAGCAGUCUUAGCAAAGAUGCCCAGACUUCCCUCUCCUCCAGCUCCUCUUGGGGGACCCCGGGGCCAGCUGAGAGACGUAGUCUCCCCAGCGUGUCCUGGGUCUUCCUUAGGGCCUCUGCCCAGUGAGACAUGCAUGGAACCCCCCCCCAGGGAGGCGUCCUCCUCUGGAUGUAGAGUGGAAGCGGCUCCACUCAGAGCUCUCUCCAGGUGAGCGAGCUUCCUGAACCUGUUCCGUUGAGAUAUUUUCAUGAACCCCUUCUAUUUGCAGAAACGGCUUUCUCCACAGACCUUGCAGUUCUUCUGCUCUGAUGUAGUCUACGAGUUCUGAUUGCAUUUGGAGAAGGUUGGUUUUCCGUGUCCUGAGAGGCAGGACCUGUUGAACAUGUGUCCUUUUCAAGUUCACUCUUGGAUGUGUGAGUUUGCAAACAUACAUUUUGGUUGAAAUGAUGAGGAUCCGAGGAUGAAAUCAAGAAGGGACAACUUCAGGGAAAGGGACUGAACCGACUGAACAGCUUCCUCUCUUCAGCAGACACAUCUUCCGAGUACAUAUGUGUCAAAAACUGACAUCCUCGCCGUUCAGGCCGGUGGCUGGAACAAGCGGAAGUCAGAAAAGCUGGAGCAGACGUUACCAGAAUGAUACCUCCAGGACCAAUCAAAAUGACCCAGAGAAAAAUACUGAAGGGCUUUGUCUGAGCAUCAGGAAAACAAGAAUCAGCAUAUGGUUAUGGUGCCAUGGUAAAGAACUAAAGGCUCUAGGAUGUCAUGCUGCUGACCAGACUGUGGUUGGUGAAGUCCAGCAGCAGUGCGGGUCCUUGAAGUGUGGUUGAAGAGCUCUCCUCCCAGCUUUUGGAAGGUUCUGCCCCGCAAAGCCAGGAGGUUUCUCUUUGUGAUCUGCAUGGAUGUCCAGGGCUUGUGGCAUUUAUGUGUUUUCCUCUUCAUUUCAUUCUCAGGCAGCACAGAGGCCUUGAUGGAGAGAGAACAUGAGGGACUAAUUGUCUGCUGAGGAGGAGACUUUCUGCAGUUCAAGCCCCAGCUCCACCCCUAAAAAAGGCUUAUAAGAAGGAAAACCUCAUUUCAACUUUGUACCAAUAAAUAAAUGACUUUUAAUUGAAA